rnacentral:lncRNA from 1 species
AUGCCAGGAGGUUUUCCAGAACAUUCCAUGGAUUUUCAUGGUCAGGAUCCAUCCACCUUCCAUCAUCUCUUGGUGGCUUCUCCAUGCCAGGAAGUUUUCCAGAACAUUCUAUGGAUUCUCAUGGUCAGAUCCAUCCAUCUUGUGUCCACCAUGGAACCUCUCUUGAUGCCUUUUCCAUACCAAGCGGUUUUCCAGAACAUUCCAUGGCUUCUCAUGGUCAGAUCCAUCCAUCUUGUGUCCAUCAUGGAUCAUCUCUUGAUGCCUUUUCCAUGCCAAGCACUUUUUCCAGAACAUUCCAUGGCUUCUCAUGGUCAGGAUCCAUCCACCUUCCAUCAUCUCUUGGUGGUUUCUCCAUGCCAGGAAGUUUUCCAGAACAUUCCAUGGAUUUUCAUGGUCAGGAUCCACCAAUCGUGGGCCAUCUCCUGCUGUUUUUUCCAUGUCGGGUGGUUUUUCCAGGAAAUUCCACGUUUUUCCACGUGCAGGGUCCAUCUUUCAUCCCUCUUGUGUCAUCUUUUGAUAUCCUCGGUGCUGGUCACCCCCCCUUGGGGCAUCUUCACCUUCUGUCACCUCCUGGUGUCACCUCCUGGUGUCACCUCCUGGUGUCACCUCAUGGUGUCACCUCAUGGUGUUAUCUGGUGUCACUUUCUGGUGUCACCUCAUGGUGUCACCCCCUGGUGUUAUCUGGUGUCACCUCAUGGUGUUAUCUGGUGUCACCUCAUGGUGUUAUCUGGUGUCACUUUCUGGUGUCACCUCAUGGUGUCCCCUCCUGGUGUCCCCUCCUGGUGUCACCUGCUGCUGGUCCCGGGUGCUUUCCCUGGUGAUUUCCAUCCUUCCCCUGCCUCGGUCUCCGUCCUGCGCCAUCCCUGGGUGUCCUCGGUGACCUCCUGGGCCACCUUCAGCCGUCACUGUCCAUCUCUGGGCGUUCCCAUCUCCAGGUGUCCUCUCUGUUCUCCCGGCACCUCCCUUCAUCUCCUGAUGUCCUCUGCAGGCUCCUCCUCUUCAUCCUCUUCCCUGUGUAAAGGACCUUCAUCAUCAUCAUCAUCAUCAUCAUCAUCAUCCCUUGGUGUCCACCAGGACCACCUUCAUCCUCUUCCCUGUGGAAAUGACCUUCAUCAUCAUCGUCAUCAUUGUCAUCAUCAUCAUCAUCAUUGUCAUCAUCAUCCCUUGGUGUCCACCAGGAACAUCUUCAUCCUCUUCCUUCAUCAUCACCACCAUCAUCCCUUGGUGUCCUCACUGACCAUCUCCGUCCACUUCCCUCUGCAAAUGGCCUUCAUCAUCAUCAUCCUCCUCCUCCUCCCUUGA